UCGAGGAUCUUUAGCAAUGGGCGAAAGCCUGACUAUGCGACGCCGCGUGAGGGAUGAAGGUUUUCGGAUCGUAAACCUCUUUCGAUGGGGAAGAAACUCCCGGUUAACUGCCGGGACUGACGGUACCCAGAGAAGAAGCCACGGCCAACUCCGUGCCAGCAGCCGCGGUAAUACGGGGGUGGCGAGCGUUACUCGGAUUUAUUGGGUGUAAAGGGCAGGUAGGUGUCCCGGUAUGUCAACAGUGAAAUCCUAAGGCUCAACCUUAGAACUGCUGCUGAAACUGCCGGGAUUGAGGCUGAAAGAGGAGAGCGGAAUUCCCGGUGUAAGGGUGAAAUCUGUAGAUAUCGGGAGGAACACCAGUGGCGAAAGCGGCUCUCUGGUUCAGCCCUGACGCUAAGCU
rnacentral:rRNA from 1 species